rnacentral:rRNA from 1 species
UGGGUCUAAUACCGGAUAGGACCACUUGGCGCAUGCCUUGUGGUGGAAAGCUUUUGCGGUGUGGGAUGGGCCCGCGGCCUAUCAGCUUGUUGGUGGGGUGACGGCCUACCAAGGCGACGACGGGUAGCCGGCCUGAGAGGGUGUCCGGCCACACUGGGACUGAGAUACGGCCCAGACUCCUACGGGAGGCAGCAGUGGGGAAUAUUGCACAAUGGGCGCAAGCCUGAUGCAGCGACGCCGCGUGGGGGAUGACGGCCUUCGGGUUGUAAACCUCUUUCAGCAGGGACGAAGCGCAAGUGACGGUACCUGCAGAAGAAGCACCGGCCAACUACGUGCCAGCAGCCGCGGUAAUACGUAGGGUGCGAGCGUUGUCCGGAAUUACUGGGCGUAAAGAGCUCGUAGGUGGUUUGUCGCGUUGUUCGUGAAAACCGGGGGCUUAACCCUCGGCGUGCGGGCGAUACGGGCAGACUGGAGUACUGCAGGGGAGACUGGAAUUCCUGGUGUAGCGGUGGAAUGCGCAGAUAUCAGGAGGAACACCGGUGGCGAAGGCGGGUCUCUGGGCAGUAACUGACGCUGAGGAGCGAAAGCGUGGGGAGCGAACAGGAUUAGAUACCCUGGUAGUCCACGCCGUAAACGGUGGGUACUAGGUG